UGGGGAAUAUUGCACAAUGGGCGAAAGCCUGAUGCAGCGAUGCCGCGUGAGGGAUGACGGCCUUCGGGUUGUAAACCUCUUUCAGUAGGGACGAAGCGCAAGUGACGGUACCUGCAGAAGAAGCACCGGCUAACUACGUGCCAGCAGCCGCGGUAAUACGUAGGGUGCGAGCGUUGUCCGGAAUUACUGGGCGUAAAGAGCUCGUAGGCGGUUUGUCACGUCGUCUGUGAAAUCCUAGGGCUUAACCCUGGACGUGCAGGCGAUACGGGCUGACUUGAGUACUACAGGGGAGACUGGAAUUUCUGGUGUAGCGGUGGAAUGCACAGAUAUCAGGAAGAACACCGAUGGCGAAGGCAGGUCUCUGGGUAGUAACUGACGCUGAGGAGCGAAAGCAUGGGUAGCGAACAGG
rnacentral:rRNA from 1 species